GAUGAACGCUGGCGGCGCGCCUAACACAUGCAAGUCGAACGAUUAAAGCACCUUUUAGGUGUGUAUAAAGUGGCGAACGGCUGAGUAACACGUGGGCAACCUGCCCUCCUCUUGGGGAUAGCCUCGGGAAACCGAGGAUAAUACCCGAUACUUCACUUGAGCCGCAUGACUCAAGUGAGAAAGCUUUUGCGGAGAAGGAUGGGCCCGCGGCCUGUUAGCUUGUUGGUGGGGUAGAGGCCUACCAAGGCAAUGAUGGGUAGCUGGGUUGAGAGACCGACCAGCCAGAUUGGGACUGAGACACGGCCCAGACUCCUACGGGAGGCAGCAGUGGGGAAUCUUGCACAAUGGGCGAAAGCCUGAUGCAGCGACGCCGCGUGCGGGACGAAGGCCUUCGGGUUGUAAACCGCUUUCAGCAGGGACGAGGCGUAAGUGACGGUACCUGCAGAAGAAGCCCCGGCUAACUACGUGCCAGCAGCCGCGGUAAUACGUAGGGGGCAAGCGUUAUCCGGAUUCAUUGGGCGUAAAGGGUACGUAGGCGGUUUUUUAAGUCAGGUGUGAAAGCGUGAGGCUUAACCUCAUUAAGCACUUGAAACUGGAAGACUUGAGUGAAGGAGAGGAAAGUGGAAUUCCUAGUGUAGCGGUGAAAUGCGUAGAUAUUAGGAGGAAUACCGGUGGCGAAGGCGACUUUCUGGACUUUUACUGACGCUCAGGUACGAAAGCGUGGGGAGCAAACAGG
rnacentral:rRNA from 1 species